rnacentral:rRNA from 1 species
AACGAACGCUGGCGGCAGGCCUCAAACAUGCAAGUCUAGGGGGUGUAGCAAUACAUCACCGGCGGACGGGUGCGUAACACGUGGGAAUAUACCUUUCGGUACGGAACAACUGCGGGAAACUGCAGCUAAUACCGUAUACGUCCUAGCGGAGAAAGAUUUAUCGCCGAAGGAUUAGCCCGCGUUCGAUUAGCUAGUUGGUGGGGUAAUGGCCCACCAAGGCGACGAUCGAUAGCUGUUCUGAGAGGAAGAUCAGCCACACUGGGACUGAGACACGGCCCAGACUCCUACGGGAGGCAGCAGUUGGGAAUCUUGGACAAUGGGGGAAACCCUGAUCCAGCCAUGCCGCGUGAGUGAUGAAGGCC